AUUGAACGCUGGCGGCAGGCCUAACACAUGCAAGUCGAGCGAGCGGCGGACGGGUGAGUAAUGUCUGGGAAACUGCCUGAUGGCGGGGGAUAACUACUGGAAACGGUAGCUAAUACCGCAUACCCUCAGAUGUGCCCCGAUGGGAUUAGCUAGUAGGUGGGGUAACGGCUCACCUAGGCGACGAUCCCUAGCUGGUCUGAGAGGAUGACCAGCCACACGCGAACUGAGACACGGUCCAGACUCCUACGGGAGGCAGCAGGGGGGAAUAUUGCACAAUGGGCGCAAGCCUGAUGCAGCCAUGCCGCGUGUGUGAAGAAGGCCUUCGGGUUGUAAAGCACUUUCAGCGGGGAGGCGUUACCCGCAGAAGAAGCACCGGCUAACUCCGUGCCAGCAGCCGCGGUAAUUC
rnacentral:rRNA from 1 species